rnacentral:rRNA from 1 species
AUAUCAAUAAGCGGAGGAAAAGAAACCAACCGGGAUUGCCCUAGUAACGGCGAGCGAAGCGGCAAAAGUCCAAAUUUGAAAUCUGGCGUCUUACGGGCGUCCGAGUUGUAAUUUGAAGAUGGUAACUUUGGAGAUGGAUCUCGCAUAAGUCCCUUGGAACAGGGCGUCAUAGAGGGUGAGAAUCCCGUUCAUGGUGAGAACCCCAUUUCUUUAUAAAGUGCCUUCGAAGAGUCGAGUUGUUUGGGAAUGCAGCUCUAAGUGGGUGGUAAAUUCCAUCUAAGACUAAAUAUUGGCGAGAGACCGAUAGCGAACAAGUACAGUGAUGGAAAGAUGAAAAGAACUUUGAAAAGAGAGUGAAAAAGUACGUGAAAUUGUUGAAAGGGAAGGGCUUGAAGUCAGACUUGGUAUUCAGUGAUCAACUGCCUCUUGGGGUUGUGCACUCGCUGUUUACUGGGCCAACAUCAGUUUUGGCGGCGAGAUAACGGGAUGGGAACGUGGCUCUUCGGAGUGUUAUAGCCCUUUCUAAUAUCGCCAGCUGGGACUGAGGUCUGCGCAUUGCUAGGAUGUUGGCGUAAUG